CUCACUGAAAUAAAUCAGUUCUUUACCAGGAAUCCACCCUACUGACACAUGAGCAGUUCACAAACUUUGCUCAGACAAGGAAAUCAUGCCAUGCAGGAAGGGGAAGUUUACAUUUAAUUAAUUUACCUGGAAAAUGAAAAGAACAGAAAAGAGAGAGAAGUUUUCCAGGAGGCAGAAGAGCAGCUGGAGCGCAGCGGACAGAAUCCCACCGCAGCCCAGCUGUGCCGCAUUCGGUUGCGUUGUGCCGGGGGCAAUGCCUGUGCUAGCAUCAGAAUUAUCCCCUGCGCUGAAGGACCUCGAACACCGAAAGCGCACAUUAGCCAACAUCUAAUGGACAGAGAAAAAGUUUAAAGGCUCAGAGGCUCCCCACAGAGAACAGAGUGAAUAAGUAAUGGAUACAUGCAGUUCCUUGCCACUUUCAUACUACGUGGCUUCCAUUAAUUUCUCACAGAAAUGGGCUCAAGUCACUGGUGAAGCUGCAGUGAGGUGAGCCAGGGUGUGGAUUUCUGGAAGCUCAACCACUUCACCCAUGAAUGACCUUGUUCCACAGCCAACAUAGGUUCAGAUAACAGUUCCUGGACAUGGAUAUGAAUGUGUCUGACAUCAAAUGGUUACACAGCUGGACCUCCGUUUACAAAUCAUUUGCUCAGAGCAGUUUGCUGAUGGCAAGGUAGAAAAUAUGCAAGCAUUUUCUUCACCAUGGUACUCAGUGCAUUUUGAAUGUCCAGCAAAGCACAGACAUGGCUCUGGCAGCAGCUGCAAGUGGCAGUUUCCAUCACCCUUGCUGGUUAUAGUAAACUCUAGAAGUGCACUCUUCCUGCUGUGAGGUGAAUAGACAUUAUAACACCACUUUAUUAACAAUAUGUGAUACAUAAAAGUUACUUAAUAUUUUGGUAUUAAAACUGCAAUUAAAUUUCCAUUCUAUUGAGUAAUUCUCACAGAAUUAAUUUUAAAAGAUGUACAUAUUUAUCUCUGCAAAUAAUUAAAUUAUUUCCUCCAGCAGUGCCCAAUGAAAUCUUCUAUAUAAAUCUGGAAAUAUUAUUUCCUUUAAAAUUUUCCAUUAUAGUGUUUUACAGAUCUCUUUCUUGUCAUUGCACCACUAUGAAACAUCUCUGUUUUUCCUUCAGCUCACCAUCAGCUCCCAUUUGAAAAGUCUGUAAAUUCUGUGCUCCUCUAAAAUCUAUAGAUAAUUGAUUCCAGGAGUAUGUGUCCACAGCAAACUGUGUAGCUGCAGUUCCACUUCAUUUAACAAUAUACAGUUCUUUGUUAGGUAGAGAUCAAAGAAUAUAAUUUUAUUAAGUUUCAAUUGCCAGAUUGGAAAAGAAUGGGCUUGUUUUAUUCAAAAAAAAAAAAAAAGGGCAGGCCAAAUGUUUUUCUAAUAGAAUUUAGAGUGCAAAAGGAGGUAAAACAAAACUAAAAGCAAUUUAUAUAUAUCUUGAAGUAAUUUUCAACCAACAACAGCCUUAAUAUAUACUGCAUUCAAAAUAUUUUUAUCAUUACCAUAGAACAGUGUCAUUACCAAACAAUAGUAAGGGAGAAAAAGUCUUGAGAAAUGCAGAAGUAGCAAGGAUUUGCCACAAUGUGUAGCUCAGGAAAAAAAAAAAAGUUGGAUGGAAAAUAAAAAGUGAGGUUACAUUUAAUUCUGUGUUACACUUCUAUGCCUCUGACUUCAUGCGCUUGAGCAAUUUUGAGUCAAAGUUACUUUGUGUCUAACAGAACUACCAAUUAACAUGUAUAAGUGUUUGCAGGAUCAGGUCUUGCCUUUGUAGAGGAUGGCUAAAGCCUGGGAGCAGGGAAAUCCCUGAUGGCUCAAGCACAAUGCAGGACAUCACUUCUGCAAACACAUGGUCCUUGUACACCUGUGUGAGGGUGAUACCUCGGUGGCACUGGGUUCAGAACACUCUGAACCAUCCCAAAGGGCUUCUCUGGCUGAAAUGUCCCCUUUGUUGGUUUUUGUUUUGGUUUUUUUUUUCAAUUAAGAGAAAACAUUUGCACAAUUGUUUAAAGAUCUUUACGGAAAACAUUUGAAAAACAGUUGAGAUGAAGAAUAGAUUAAAUAGAAAAAUCAGAACCGGAUGUCCUGGAAUGUAGCUGCCAAUAGCAGCUUUGUUUUGGAAUGGAGAAGUUCUCAUCUUUUCUUUGGUACUUUAUUGCUUCUGUUUUAGGUUUUGGAGGCCGGGGUAUUUGUUUCUGCUUGAAAGCUUGGUAGAGAUAAAAAGCAGAGCCCAGCCUUCCUUCACUGUAAAUUAAGUGGUUGUGGAAUGUGCAAUCAUCUAAAAAAUUUGACACUGAUGUGUACCAUGGAACAGCUUAAAUAAUUUUGGAUAUUGACUCAAAUAAAGUUUAUUUAUCUAGUUUAUUAUUCUGUGUGACAAAACAGCAUAAUCCCUGAUACUUAUUCAUUUUAUAAAGUCAGGUUUUUAGCUCUGGUUUCUUUAAAAUGAGGUUCAUGUUCAGAGUGUGUAGAGUUAAAAAACUGGACUAAUUAUUGUACAAUGGGGCAUUAUAAUUAGUGCAGAUAACAACUGCUUGCCCAAGAGUUUUAAAACAAACAAACAACAAAACAGUAAACAAAUAAAUAAAUCCUGACAAAGUGCAAGUGGUUGGACAACAAAUUGUUUUUUGCAGUUUUGUGUUGAAAAUUCUAAGCAGUAUGAAGAAAGUACACACUUUGAAAUGAAAACUUUUACAUUUUUCAUUUCUUUGUAUUGAAAUGACUUCUUAAGCCAUUUUUCAAAUAGUCCAAAAUUCAAGAUCUGAAUGAUUAUUUAAUUUCCUCCAAAUAAAGUGUUCAAAAGUAAAUAUUAAAGAAUCAUUAUUUUUCUUUUAAUCAAAGAACUAUUGCAUUUUCAGAUUGAAAAAUAUCCAAGAGGAAUUUCCUUACAUUCUUUUCAUAGACUUCUAACCUCUUCAAAAAACUCAAAGUGAACAUCAAACCAGGGCAAAUAAAUUCUUUUACAAACUGUGCUGCGAAAACAAAAAAAAAUAUGUUAACUUUGUCAUAACUUUGUCUGUCACUGUGCCAGGAUGAAAACUGUUUCAUUUCAUGCCCAACAAAAGUAGUUGUUUUUUUUACUCCCCAGUAUAAUCUAGAAAAGACAGUUUUUAUUGUCUUUUGUUUAAUUUUUAUUUCAGACUUAUUUUUGUUAAGCAGAAUGUCAAGAUACCUGGUUUUGGAGCAAGUUUAACAUCUUUAUCUAUUGUUACCAUUUUCCGUAUACCUUCCUCUUUUUUUUCUCAAUAAAAUUGGCAGAAGAGGAUUAUUUUGGCAAAACUGGAGAUAAUCACACUUCAUUAAAUUAACUGAGUAUUUUAAAUUAAUGUAAGUAAUCAUAUUUGACAUGUUCUAUUGCAAUACUAUUUCUGUGUCUCAGGCUAAUUUUCACAGUGUCUUUGGGGUUUUUUUGAGCAAAACAAACUGGCAAAUAGAAGUCUGUAUUAAUUUCUCCUCAUUUUAGAAAUAUAACAUGGAGUACUUAUGGUAUGUGUGCAUUAGGAUCACAGUUUCCCUGAGUUCUGUCUACAGUAAAAGAAGGUAGACAGGAACCACCAGAGGGAGGUUGAGCCCAUGGAAGGCCUAUACCAAAGUGGCAUAUAAAACAGAAGUGUUUCUGGAAGGGAAUAUAGAAGAAAAAAAAUAACGAGGAAGAGAAAAGGAAAAAAAUAAUAAUAACUCAAAAAAUUGACAUUGUUUUAUGAUAUAAAUGUUUGGUUCAUGUACAGUUUGAUCAUUGUGUCCUCAUCCCCUCAUCUCUAAGAGAUUACAGCAACAUAGUUAGAGAGAGACAAGGAAGAUAAAAAUAGGCACUGAAGUAGAAAUACUUACUCCAAAGGAAACAUGAAAUUUCGCUUAGAGUCUUCAGCCUGAGGAAGAUCUUGCAGAAAUAGGUACUAUUAUGUCCCUCAAAGGAGUUGAACUUGGAGGAAAUGGUCACUGUUCCUCAUUUUUUUUCAAAUCAUUUGGAUUUUACCAAAUAAGAUAAACCCAUGGCAGACUUGAAAAAAAAAAUGUGGGGGGGGGGUAUGUAACAAUAAGAAAUAAAAUGUCAGAACUCAUUGCAAUGUGAUGCAGGAGUAGGUUUGAGAUCAGGCACACUCAUGGCAUAGAAAUAAUUCAAAGCUCUCAGAUAUGGGGCUGUGGAUGUUUGGUCUGACUCUCUCUUACCCUCCUUAUUUUGUUUUUCUGCAUAGGUUUCUGUGGCCCGCAAGUGACGGGCAUAGGAAGCUUUAACUCUGGCUCUAUAAUGUUCAGCAAUGUUUCUAAAGGUGAUGAAGUUUUAAAGCACUGCCUUGCCUCAUUUAGAAAAUCUGUGGUGCAGCAGGGCAACUCACUCCAAGUCUACAGCUAGCAACCAAAGACAUCCAUCAUGUCUAAACAACAUUGGGGUUUUUUUUUUAACUUAAACAGCUUUUUCCUGGAGUUCAAGCAAUUAUUCACAGGCUGGGAGGAAGGCAUCUGCAGUCACUUGGAGGAUUUGGUCUCCUGCACGGCCAUAUGAGACACUUCAGUCAGCUUGUGGGCACAAACAUAAUUUCAGAAUUUCAUGUGUAUAUAUCUAUGUUAUCAUAUUCUUUCACUGUGAAAGCAGUAACUACUGUAUGUGGUAAAAUGAUAUAUUGUUGUCCGCAAAAUGUCUUUGGCAACAGGAUGUUCACUAGCCUUGGAAUUUUGCCUUGUAUAAAUAUUUUUAAUCUACUCCAUGUAGGCAUAUUUUGGCUGCAAAAUAAAGGGUUUUGGAGAUUAA